rnacentral:lncRNA from 1 species
AGUAUGCUUAGUGUUAUGCGGUGUACUAUACAGAAACUGUGACCAAAGCCUUUAAAUAUCUCCUAUUAUUCUGUAUUUAUUGGAAUUCAUCAUCUCUGUGAUCUAAAUUAAGAUCUGCAGAACAGUUAUUUCUCCCAGUCUACUGAAAUAAUAGCUUUAACUUAUUUUGUGAUCCUAAUGUAUUUUAUGGCAUGCUUAAACAACUGGAUAAAGCAAACAAAAUCAAUCAGCUGGAUGUCCUGUCUAUUUAGAAAACAUCUGAUAAAAUGAUGUUGGGCAAGCAGUCCCCAUCACUCCUUAUUUUCCCAACAAUUUCAUAAACCAUACAGAGAGAAAAUAUAAUGCCAUGCUGUGGCCAUACUAGCGGAAACUGGGGGAUAGGCAGAUGGGGCUGUGCUGAGAACUCGAAACAGCGUGACCUUUAGGCUGAAACCUGAACUAUGAGAAGGGAAGAUGUGGGGAAACAGUGUCCAGGUGGAAGCCAGCAAAUGCUUUCCUUCUGGCUAUCACUAUUACUGUCACCAUUCUCAGUGACUGCAAUAACAAAACACAGGGCAUGCAUCUAAUAGUCUGACUUUGGUUCCUUGAUCUCCUUGCUUUCAACUCUCUCUUCUCUGUUUCUCUCGGUCAUAUCCUAGACCUUGUCAUUACCAAAAACCAUACUGCCCUUUAAACUCUAGAGAUUUCCUUUCUCUGUGCUCUUAGCUGGUAAGAUAACUUCCUGAUUAAUGUAGAAAAUAUUAGUAAUCAUUUGGCCACCUUCGUAUUGACCAACCUUCCUAUCCUGUACUUAAAUAUGUUCUUUGCCAGGCACGGUGGUUCGUGCCUGUAAUCCCAGCACUUUGGGAGGCCCAGGCGGGCAGAUCACCUGAGGUCAUGGUCUAUGUAUCACUUUUAUACUAGUACCAUUCUGUUUUGGUUACUAUAGCCUUGUAAUAUAAUUUGAAGUCGGGUAAUGUGAUGCCUCCAGAUUUGUUCUUUUUGGUGAGGAUUGCUUUGGCUAUUCGGGCCCCUUUUGGUUCCAUAUAAAUUUUAGAAUUGCUUUACUGGCAAACAGAGAUGGUUUGACUUCCUUUUUUCCAAUUUGGAUGCGCUUUAUUUCUUUCUCUUACCUGGUUGAUUUGGCUUGGACUUCCAGUAUUAUGUUGAAUAACAGUGGUGAAAGUAGGCAUCCUUGUCUUUUUCCAGGUCUUAGGGGAAAGACUUUCAGUUUUUCCUCAUUCUGUAUGAUACUGGCUGUGGGUCUGUCUUACAUGGCUUUUAUUAUGUUGAGGUAUAUUCCUUCUAUACCCAGUUUUUUGAAGGUUUUCAUCAUGAAGCGAUGUUGAAUUUUAUGAAAUACUUUUUCUGCAUCAAUUGAAAUAAUAAUAUGGAUUUUGUUUUUAAUUCUUUUUAUGUGAUAAAUCAUAUUUAUUGACUUGUGUAUGUUGAACUAUUCCUGCAUCCCUGGAGUAAAACUCACUUGAUCAUGGUGAAUUAUUUUGAUGUGUUGUUGGAUUUGGUUUGCUAUUAUUUCGUUGAGGAUUUUUGCAACUAUAUUCAUCAGGGAUAUUGGUCUGUAGUUUUCUUUCUCUCUCUCUCUCUCCUUUUUUUUUUUUUUUUUUUUUGCCAUGUCCUUUUCUGUUUUUUGCUGUCAGGGCGAUACUGGCUUCAUGGAAUGAUUUAGAAAGGAUUCCCUCCUUCUUAAUCUUUUGGAAUAAUUUCAGUAGAAUUGGUACUAAUUUUCUUUUAAUGUCUGGCUGAAUUUGGCUGUGAAUCUAUCUGGUUCUAAAUUUUUUUUUGUUUGGAGUUUUUUUUAAAUUACUAAUUCAGCCUCACUACUUGUUUUUGGUCUGUUCAGGAUUUCUAUUUCU